rnacentral:rRNA from 1 species
UACGAAGGGGGCUAGCGUUGCUCGGAAUCACUGGGCGUAAAGGGUGCGUAGGCGGGUCUUUAAGUCAGGGGUGAAAUCCUGGAGCUCAACUCCAGAACUGCCUUUGAUACUGAAGAUCUUGAGUUCGGGAGAGGUGAGUGGAACUGCGAGUGUAGAGGUGAAAUUCGUAGAUAUUCGCAAGAACACCAGUGGCGGAAGGCGGCCUCACUGGCCCGAUACUGACGCUG